AUGCACGCUGGCGGCGUGCCUAAUACAUGCAAGUCGCGCGAACAGACGAGGGGCUUGCUCCUCUGACGUUAGCGGCGGACGGGUGAGUAACACGUGGAUAACCUACCUAUAAGACUGGGAUAACUUCGGGAAACCGGAGCUAAUACCGGAUAAUAUAUUGAACCGCAUGGUUCAAUAGUGAAAGACGGUUUUGCUGUCACUUAUAGAUGGAUCCGCGCCGCAUUAGCUAGUUGGUAAGGUAACGGCUUACCAAGGCAACGAUGCGUAGCCGACCUGAGAGGGUGAUCGGCCACACUGGAACUGAGACACGGUCCAGACUCCUACGGGAGGCAGCAGUAGGGAAUCUUCCGCAAUGGGCGAAAGCCUGACGGAGCAACGCCGCGUGAGUGAUGAAGGUCUUCGGAUCGUAAAACUCUGUUAUUAGGGAAGAACAAAUGUGUAAGUAACUAUGCACGUCUUGACGGUACCUAAUCAGAAAGCCACGGCUAACUACGUG
rnacentral:rRNA from 1 species